rnacentral:rRNA from 1 species
UACAGAGGUCCCAAGCGUUGUUUGGAUUCACUGGGCGUAAAGGGUGCGUAGGUGGUGGGGUAAGUCGGAUGUGAAAGCUCGGAGCUCAACUCCGAAAUGGCAUUGGAAACUACCCUGCUAGAGGAUUGGAGGGGGGACUGGAAUACUUGGUGUAGCAGUGAAAUGCGUAGAUAUCAAGUGGAACACCAGUGGCGAAGGCGAGUCCCUGGACAAUACCUGACACUGAGGCACGAAAGCUAGGGGAGCAAACAGG